ACGAGGCUCUAAUAAUUAUUUCACGUCCUGAUUCUUGAAAAUACGUGACAAUUCUACAGCCAUUUAAAGGUUGAUUAAAUUUGGACGAUCGUCUUUGUUUCAAUAUGGCUCCCGCUAAAAGGAAACGUACAUAAUUAUACUGGUAAAGAAGUGUUGAAUUGCGUCGUGAAUGACAGUAAAAGUGAUGAUCCAAAGUUUGAUUCGAAUGACAGUUACAGUAAAAAGACAGUUUGCAAUCAGUCAUCUGCACCUGCUACACAUGUCCCGGUAGAAACAUUAGAUUCCUCAGACGCAGCGGAUCAUGAAAUUCUGUCCCUGUGAGGCAACGAGGGCGUGCUCGUGGUGGAGGCAUUAGUCGCGGUUGAGCCGAUGGUCGUUGACAGAACGAGGACGCUAAAUAUAAACCUGACUGACAUUCCUAUGUGUUUCAUGCCAUACUAUGAGCUUUACCAUUCACACAAAAACAUUAAACAAGCCAAAGAAAGAAUUGUGUAUAAUUUGUAAAUAAAAGUAAAAAGGAAAACAAAUCAUGUCAAUACUGUGAUUGGAAAAAAGUAUGAAUCACACUUUGUGUUGUGAAUAAAUGUUUAUAUUUUUUUUCAAUGAUCAUGUGUAUAUUUAAGGUGGAACGCGACUAUGAAUUUUUUUUCGAGUUACUGUUUGAAAAUAUGUAUACGAAUAGAAGAGCAUAUGCCCAGUUAGGAACUGUUUUUACUUUUUCAAUAUUCGAAACAGUUUUGAAACUACGAGUCUUCAAAACAUGCCACUGACGUCAAUUUUGAGACGUCUAUCAUAUUUUUGAGCUCCAGCUACAAUAACCGAUAUUUUCACCAAUUCUUCGUUUACCGCUAUGAAAUUUCAACAUCAAGUGCGUCUUGUGAAAACGUUCACGCUCAUAUUUUUUUCGUUCUCUUAUUUUACGUUUUUUACAUUAAAUGUGUCUAAAACGUCAAUUUUCGUGGGAAAAAAAGGCGUGGCGUUUCGCUAAAAAAAAUGCGCCUUUCUUUAUUUUUUGUAAAAAUUGCUCGUUUAAUUUUUGAUUUUUUUAAAUAAAUUUAUUUAAAAUUUUAUUACAAAACGCCUGGUAUCAAAAAAAGUAUGCCUCACCGACUUCGUUUUUGCGUAAUAUUACUUUAUAUAACCCCUAUACCUGUUUCCCAAUCAAUACGUAUUAUAGUGAAACGUUUAGAAUGACAAUUGACGUUUAUAAUAUUUCUUAAUACACAUCAAAAAUGUUUCAAGUCAUUGGGACUAUGCUGAUUAAUUCCUUGUUGAUAACCAUUCAGCUUCAAAAAACAACAACACAAAAACAGUUCUACUACUUUAUUAGUUAUAUUUGUUUUAGAUUUGUAUCAGAGAGUUGCAGAGAUAAAACUUUAGAUUAAGCAACAACAUGGUAAAUCUACCUUGUGGCAUACCUCACUAACACAAUUAAACUGAAAACCAGAAAAUUGACAGAAAUCUGUACUACAUUGUAAUAUGUACAAGCGGAUCCAGGCGGGGGUGCCCCCCUCCCCCCUGCACACAACAAACACAUAUGCAUGUAUAUACAUUACAGAUAUUUAUAAACAUUUUAUAUUUCAGUUGAAAUACAAUGUUAAAAUUGCUAAAACGAUCGCAAUUUAUAUGAUUAAUGCAGUAAAAUGCUGUUUGAUUUUAUUAA